rnacentral:lncRNA from 10 species
UUUCUGGGGCCAUUUGUCCUGGUCCUGCUCGGCUCUCUGCCCAUCCCUGCUGUGUAAACAGCACUCUCUCUCAGAAGGUCUUAGCUUUGCUUCCCUAAACACCCUGGACCUGUGAUCAGGACUGCCACCUUCUGCCCUGAAGGUAAAAGUGAUCCAGCCAGGGGGAGGAGGGGCCUGAGGAGCCAGGUGCAGGAGGUCAGGGGUCAGGGGUUAGGACAGUGGUACCGGCCAGGAGGUGCCUCCGGGCCAGCUGGGCUCCAUCACACAGGCACUGCCCCCUCCCCCAGCCCUGCCCCAGAGUUGAGGGAAGGGAAGACAGGGGAACUAGAAAGAAAGCACGAGGACCAGCCAGCUGGGAGAGGCCAGGUCUGUGGAGCACCUGCUCUGUGCGCAGCAGCUGCUGCCUCAGGUGGAGUCUGUGGUUCCCAUGGUUCCUAGAGUGAGGACUCAUCCUGCCAGAUGGAGGGCUCUGGGUUCUGCUGAGCACCUUCAGGAGUUCAGUUGUGGUGUUGGCUGUAAGUGACAAGGACCUUGAUCUGGCUGAAGGAAAGAGUGUUGGCUCCUGAGACUGGAAAGCUGAGGGUAAGUCUGACGGGCGCGGCGGGAUUGGGAACUCACGGCAUCAACAUCCUCUCUCCGUGUCUUAGGCCCACUCUCCACCAGGUUGCUUCUCUCCCAGACUCUUCCCUCAUGGGAACAAAAUGCCUGCCAGCAAUGCCAGAUGUACAUCCCCUCAAGCUCCCACAGGACAACAGGGCGGGCAGCAUCCACUUCCCACAGCCAAUAGCCCUGGGCCAGGAUCACGUGACCGGCUGAUAGGCUCAGGUCUCAGUCAUGAGUUCCACCUUUAAGGAAGGUGGGGGCAGAAAAUAAGUUUCCCUCAAGCCCUGUGCCUGGGAUUGGGGAUGGUGGCUCUGCAGAAGGAAGGCAAGAUGCACUGACCAGAGGAGGGCACAUGGAGGCCAGGAGACUGAACAGCAGGCGGCCACCUCACCUGUUGCACUGCCCACCCGCUACCUAAGCCCUGCCCGCCCCACCCGCAUCUAAGCCCCACCCACUCUCCCACACCUGCAGCACUGCCCAACCCACCCCAUCAAAACACCGCCCACC